GGAACCCUCAACCCUCCUCGCUCACUCUUCACGUCACUGCUUCCCUUGCCACUGUCCAGCCGCCGCACCACGCCCACUAUCGGACCACCACCUUCACCGACGACCACCGUCGACCCUCGUGCCCACCGUGAGCUCGCCGCCGUCGAUACUCCGCCGCCGCCAGCACAGCCCUGUCCACCGUCCCGCCACCACCACCGCGUGCCGCCACCGCACGCAACCCCUUGCUCAGCCUCGCCGCGAACCACCGCAUAUCCGCCGGCCAGCUCUCCUCUCUCCUCCUUAAUUCUUGGUUAUUUC